UAUUUCUCUCUACUGAGUGAGCAGGUAUUUUACUGUGAGACACUGCUCUAGAGCUACACAAAGAUAAACAACCCAUUCUCCCAUUUUUUUCCUGCUCACACCUUCAUCUGUCUCUCAUGCCGCAGGAGAUAAGCAGCUCAAUAGAGGAUGAUGAGCCAGAACUGAAAGCACGUGCCAUGGAAAGACCGUCGUUCAGAACAUUACCUUGGCGACCUGCAGAGCUUGUGACGGCCCCUAGUGAGCCUCUGUGACAUGGGAAUGGAGAGAGGAGGGAAAAAAGCUGCAGAGAGAGCUCUCCAAUUAAAGUUGGAUGAACUAGCAAGAUUAUUAGAUUUUUUUUUUUAUCUGAAUACAAGUCAAUUGUUCUUUUAAAACUUUGCUUUUCCUGCUAAUACUGUCAUGCUUCUCUGAUUGUGUGUGUAUUUGUUUACAUCUGCAUAAAUAGGUUAGUGAACUUUAUUGGACUAUGUAGUUUAAAUUGUGCUAAAUAAUACUAACCAGAAACAGACAAGGCAGUCUUGCUUACUUGUGUUUUAUUUUACACAAACAUGACGAAAGUGACAAAAUCAAAGAUUUACAAAUCAAUUAACGAAACUUAGCUUCAAAAUUAUUUCUAAUUAGAUAGUAAAGGUGUAAUAACAGUAUGCACACUGUGUAGCCAGGAAGAAAC